UAAAGUGAUGUGUGGUAAGCCGGUGUCGCGAACAGAAAUAUUGUUCCAAAAGACCACUAUGCAACGUCUUGGGGCAAAACUGACGCAUGAAUUGGGAAAGGGAUCACCCCAUCUUUUCAGAUCGAUUCCAGUCGUAGCGCGAUCGGCUCGAUCGCAAUUUCCGUGAGGUACUUCUAACCUUUUGCUCACUCGCGUUAAAAGCGUAGAAUAAAACUGCGUUCAGUUGCGCACUUGUAUUGACGCUUGUAUUGGCUUGAGAGCAUACUGUAUCCGAUACAAGAACUUCUGUUAAAAUACGGAAAUAAACAUUCGAGGCAAUAGCAGUCGCUCACUACCUGUGAUCGUUACUUUCUUGCUUGGGUGCACGUUUUAAUUGUGACCAGAAAAAAAAAGUUCUUUGCUCUGGCUGCUCUGCUGUGUUUCCUCGGUGCAACUUUUUGCAGUGCAGCAAGACGUGUUGCUUCGAAUGAUGUCUGGGCAGUCAAGGCAUUCGUGUCAGUAAGCAAGCAGUAAACGGGGUAUCAGUGCGAAAAAAAUUGGACAUACAAGAGAAGCGAAUGGUAUCAUCAUUGACUCUUUUAUUUUACGAAUAAUUCAGUUGUAUUACUAAAGCGGAGAGUGGAUAUGCAUGAAAGUCAGAUUGUAUUGAUACUCAGCAAAAACAAGGUAACUUAUCAUUACUAAUCAAUCCUUUUCUUUUACUGAAAGGCAAGUUGCUGUUGUGCUGGAGCUGAGAAGAGGUCUGCUGCCUGCAAUGGGUCCAUCUCUCUCAAGUUAUCGCAGUAUUGUAGCUCUCAAAUGAUGUGACUUUCUCUGCACAUGUUGCAGGUUCAAAAAAGUAUGGUGGAAGCUGUUGCCAAGGUUCCGACCAGAAAAGGCAGCCAGUAUAAAAGGGUCCACACCACUGAUCUCUACUACAGGGGAUGGACAGCACAUCGAGCACCCUCGACUGAAGCCAACCUUGUCCCGGAAGUUGGUGCUUCACAACUUUGCGGCAGCACUUCGUUUGCAUGGCCUGUGGAGACAAGGUUUCUUAGACAUGGCCAUGGCCCUCAAGGAAGAUGCCGAGGCCACAGGCAGUUCCUCCAGUGACCGUGAAAAGGUCCCCUGGGGCACAAGUCUAAUUUGGUACCCCUACCUUUCUCCUGCAGCUUUUCUGUCUACUUAGCUAACCAGCAGCAAGUUUAUCCUUGCAAGCAUUUUGGGUCAAGAACAACUUUCACCAGGAAGAAGUGCAAGACGAGUGAUUGAAGAAAAUAAAGUUGCUUCUGUGAUCUAAGAA